rnacentral:lncRNA from 1 species
UCAACCCAAUUAGUAUUGGGAGUAAAAUUCAAUCAUUUUUACAAAUUAUGCACACAUUCAAUUGGAUGGGAUUGCACAGGGGGUGCGUGUACAAAAGGAAGUAGAAAUCUCAGGGACCAUCUUAGAAUUUGCAUAUCAUAGUGACAGAAACAAUGCAACAUGGAGUGGUUUCACAUAGUGUGUUGGGAACAUGGUUAGUUGCACAACAUAACUGAAGAAAUCAAUUGUGAAAUAAUUUUGGAAAUGCCAGUUUGGAAAACACAAACAGACACACACAGACACACACAGACACACACACACACACACACACACACACACACAAAAAUAAGUACCUCAAAUCUUUAAGCCAUUGUAAUGGGUUAUAUUGUCUUAGCAUUUAAAAUGAGAGUGCAAGGGACCUACUGUCCAAUAGACUUAAUAAUCUUGAGACAUCUUGUCAACUCUUCCUAAAAACUCUGAUAAUGACUAUAGUUUACCUGUAGCUAGGAAUUUUUCAUUAUAUUGUAAAGGGUUGUGAAAAACAAAAAAGAAAAGAAGAAUAAGAAAAGAAGAAGGAGAAGAAGAAAAUAGGAAGAAGAAGAAGAAGAAGAAGACGGAGAAGAAGAAGAAGAUAAAGAGGAGGAUGCAGUGUGGUGAAAAGAUGAGGAGGAGAAGGAGGACAAAGUAACUAUGCAUGAUCCUCCAAACCUAAAAUAUUUAUUAUGUGGCUGUUUAUGGAAAAAGAUGCUGUCGCCUGACUCUAACUUCUAAGCACAAAACCCAAAGGCAGUCUUCAACUUGGACAUUUUAGAGGAUGAGUGCUAAAGAAAUUACCUCAAAGUUUGUGUUAAAAUGCAAAC